rnacentral:rRNA from 1 species
AUUGAACGCUGGCGGCAGGCCUAACACAUGCAAGUCGAACGGUAACAGGAAGAAGCUUGCUUCUUUGCUGACGAGUGGCGGACGGGUGAGUAAUGUCUGGGAAACUUCCUGAUGGAGGGGGAUAACUACUGGAAACGGUAGCUAAUACCGCAUAACGUCGCAAGACCAAAGAGGGGGACCUUCGGGCCUCUUGCCAUCGGAUGUGCCCAGAUGGGAUUAGCUAGUAGGUGGGGUAACGGCUCACCUAGGCGACGAUCUCUAGCUGGUCUGAGUGGAUGACCAGCCACACUGGAACUGAGACACGGUCAAGACUCCUACGGGAGGAAGCAGUGGGGAAUAUUGCACAAUGGGCGCAAGCCUGAUGCAGCCAUGCCGCGUGUAUGAAGAAGGCCUUCGGGUUGUAAAGUACUUUCAGCGGGGAGGAAGGGAGUAAAGUUAAUACCUUUGCUCAUUGACGUUACCCGCAGAAGAAGCACCGGCUAACUCCGUG